UUGCUAAAAGUCCAUUUACCACCUACUAAAAUGUGAAACACUAAUAAGGAAGCGAAAGGAACAGAGAUCACUAGAAGGCCCUAAUUUAACGACAAACAAAAUGCAUAAAACAUGUAUGAUGGGAAAGCACAAGAAUGAAGGAACCAUAGCUUUUGUAACAAAGCUUGCAAGAAAAGAUAAUAACACGAUGCAAAUAGAGAUGUGCAAAUAUAUGAAUGAUUCACCAGAUAGUUAUCUCAACAGUUCAAUAUAACACACAUUCAGGCAUUAGGACAAACUUAGGUCUCAGUUUACCUACCUGCACGGAAGACACACCAAUAUGGUAGUUGUUACAAUCCAAUUAAUAGUUAUCUUGUUCCUUAAGUUUUAAAUAUCCAAGCAGCAAGGUGGAGCAACACAUUAAUCCCUACAUGACCACAUUCAAGCAAACUGUUCUGCUGACACGAUAUGGUUUCAAUUCCUUUUCAAGGGUAAAACAAUCACUCAAGUAGACUUAUAAUAUCAAGAGAGAAUUCACAUUUAAAGCAAUCUGUUUUCUGGAGAUUCUAGAUUGUGCAUCAAUCGGGAGGCUUCAACCAAAUUGCCAUUAAAGGCAUAUGAAAAUGGAAAAUCUACCACUCAAAUUGAAAAGCUUAAAUGAAUAACGACAAAAUUAAUUUUAAGGAGAAACGUUCAAUCAGAUAAUGAUCUAUAAUACUGGGAAAAUUUUUCUUCUAGCCCAUGAUAAAAGUACCAUUGCAAAUAAUUUUGAUUAUUCUUACAAAAAGCCACUUCAUCAGUGCAUGGCCAUGGUCCAACAUUUAUCGUUUUCCCAACAAAACACAACACCGUUUAUUCAAAAACUUGGCACAGCCAACUAACCUCAACAAGGAUGCCAUCUCCG
rnacentral:misc_RNA from 1 species